rnacentral:tRNA from 2 species
CCUUCGAUAGCUCAGUUGGUAGAGCGGUGGACUGUAGAUCGAGAUGAUGGUAAAUAGUAAUCCAUAGGUCGCUGGUUCAAAUCCGGCUCGAAGGA